GGCGACUGAAAUCCUCUGCAGAUGUGGGGAGAACACCUGUUAGCACUGGCCUGACCGCUAGCCUGAAGGCAUCUCUAGAGCCUGAUGCGGGGCUGGAACUCAUGAACGAUGUGAUCGUGACCUGAGCUGAACUGAGCCGAAGUCGGAGGUUUCACUGAAUGAGACACCCGGGUGCACCUGCCUCUUUCCCUCCUGAUAUCAGUACCCUGACUUUUCCUUCAGAGAACCAGACCUCCCCCAAGUUUUGUGUAUGUGGGAAGACUACUCAUUAGCCCUGA